rnacentral:rRNA from 1 species
CCUACGGGGGGCAGCAGUGGGGGAUAUUGCACAAUGGGGGAAACCCUGACCCAGCCAUGCCGCGUGAGUGAAGAAGGUCUUCGGAUUGUAAAGCUCUUUCGGACGUGACGAUGAUGACGGUAGCGUCUAAAGAAGCACCGGCAAACUUCGUGCCAGCAGCCGCGGUAAUACGAAGGGUGCGAGCGUUGUUCGGAAUUACUGGGCGUAAAGGGAGUGUAGGCGGAUAUGUAAGAUAGCGGUGAAAUGCCGGGGCUCAACCCCAGGACUGCAUUUGGAACUGUCAUGCUAGAGUGUCGGAGAGGCAGGCGGAAUUCCUAGUGUAGCGGUGAAAUGCGUAGAUAUUAGGAGGAACACCAGUGGCGAAGGCGGCCUGCUGGACGAUGACUGACGUUGAGGCUCGAAAGCGUGGGGAGCAAACAGGAUUAGAUACCCGAGUAGUC